rnacentral:lncRNA from 1 species
GCAUGCCUGUAAAGACUGGAGAAGACUUAAUUGCAAUUCCAUUCUUUGCAGUAACUGCAGCCAACAUUUUGCAGUUGCUGAAACAUGAAGUUUCUUCCCUGGAGUAGGCAACUUUGGAAUGUCUGACCCUCCAAAAAUGCCAUUAGUCAUACGCAAAAGCUGGAAAAAUCACUAGUAGUAUGAAACAAAUAAUCCAGGUAUACAUCUGCCAAAAGGAUUAGAGAAAUCACAGCAAUUCUCAAUUUCCACAGAUCCCCACAGCAUGUACCAAACCCGAGAGGAGAGCUCUUGCAAGAAGACAGGAUAUGCUGUGCAUUAGAUGCUUCUGGUUCCAGCCUUUAUUAUAGGUUUCUCACUCUUAGUGCUGUGUCUGAGAGAGCUGAACAUUUGUGAAAGCAGCCGUUCCCAGAGUUGGAAAGUUCCAAAUCCCCUUUUGGAGCUGAGUGCGUGCGUUAUUGAGUUAGUCAUGACACCACCUUACAGAGAACAGACAAUGAGUUUUGGAUUUUCUCAUAAUGUUUCUUCACUGAGCGUGCACUCAGCUGUGUGGCCUUCUUGGGGUAUGCUUAAUUUCUCACUGUCCAGCCUGCCCUUUGAUGUCUGAUGAAGAGGGAUACAUCUUCUUUUCCAUCUCUUCACAUGUGCCUAUUAAUUACUCUCUUCAGAGAGCCUGUUUACUGACUAUCACUGUGUUUACAAUUGAAUGCAGUUAAACAUUUGUUCUUCACAGUUUCCUCUCUUCUACACCACCCACCCAGUUUCUUCAUUUCUUCCCAACUGUUGCAAAAUGGAUGUCUCCAAAUCACUUUGUAAAGUCACAGAUGCAGUGUACUUACUUUCCCACACUCACCCUGCUUUCAAGCACUACUUUUGCUUCACUCACAGAGAAAUAAAGUCAGUCUUUAUAUUGGAAUUUCUAUCUCC